CUUUAGCCCCGAUAGAAACGGCAUCCCAUCUUGUUUUUUCUACGAGAUGGAUAUAGUGGAUAGCGGGAAUCCAU
rnacentral:sRNA from 1 species